GUUCUGUAUGAAAGUUGAGAAAAUUACCACUCCUCUUGAUAAAGGUGGAAGGGGCCCUCAGGCCUUACAGCAUGCAUAUGAUUAAGGCAUUGCCACCUACUUUGUGGCAUCUAACCACAGUUUGGA